UUAUUAGUGUAAGUAUGUCCCAUGGAAUAUUUGGGACAUAUUUACUUAUACUAAAA
rfam:Callithrix jacchus chromosome 15, whole genome shotgun sequence